UUAAUUUUAUAGUUCACUUGCAAGUUUGCCAAGUUUUAUUGAUUUCUUUUUCAUUUAUCAUGCCACAAGACUACAAGAGUCAGCAAAUCCAUGUCUGCCAUUGGCAACGAAAAAACAACACCAUAUAUAAUCAGUGUGUUGUUUUGUUUGAACUGAGGGACUAAAGCAGAAUGGUGCCGUCUAGCUUCAAAAUCAUUUUUGGAUUGGGAUUCUGAGCGGGAUUUAAUGUUACAUACUGUUAUUCAUUAUUAAUUUCUUAAAACCCUUUUGUGCUGCAGAACACCUAAAAGUUUAGAAGAAUCAGGAUCGUUGAAAGCUAAUCUGAAUGCUGAGACACUCCCUCCAUCAAGAAAACAUGAAGAAGAGGUGGAUGAUGAAAGUGCACGAAAGAAAAGGAAGCAUGAAGAGAAGAAACAGGAGAAGCAUGAAGAGAAGAAACAUGAGAAGCAUGAAGAGAAGAAACACGAGAAGCAUGAAAAGCGUGAGAAGCGACGUACCCGUGCUUCAGUUGACAAAUCGAAACAUUCUCGUGAUUCUGAUGACAGGAGGAAGCACAAGAGAGACAAGGAAAGAAGACGACAUGAUUCUGA
rnacentral:lncRNA from 1 species